AGUCAAUAGAUACCCCGGUAGUCCACGCCCUAAACGAUGUCUACUAGUUGUUGGUGGAGUAAAAUCCAUUAGUAAACGCAGCUAAACGCGUGAAGUAGACCGCCUGGGGAGUACGGUCGCAAGAUUAAAACUCAAAGGAAUUGACGGGGGCCCGGCACAAGCGGUGGAUUAUGUGGAUUAAUUCGAUGCAACGCGAAAAACCUUAACCUGGCCUUGACAUGCCACUAACGAAGCAGAGAUGCAUUAGGUGCCCGAAAGGGAAAGUGGACACAGGUGCUGCAUGGCUGUCGUCAGCUCGUGUCGUGAGAUGUUGGGUUAAGUCCCGCAACGAGCGCAACCCUUGCCAAUAAUUGCCAUCA
rnacentral:rRNA from 1 species